UACGGAGGAUGCGAGCGUUAUCCGGAUUUAUUGGGUUUAAAGGGUGCGUAGGCGGGCUUUUAAGUCAGCGGUAAAAAUUCGGGGCUCAACCCCGUCCGGCCGUUGAAACUGCAGUUCUUGAGUGAAGUAGAGGCAGGCGGAAUUCCUAGUGUAGCGGUGAAAUGCGUAGAUAUUAGGAGGAACACCAGUGGCGAAGGCGGCCUGCUGGACUGCAACUGACGUUGAGGCCCGAAAGCGUGGGGAGCAAACAGG
rnacentral:rRNA from 1 species